CCUACGGGAGGCAGCAGUGAGGAAUAUUGGUCAAUGGACGAGAGUCUGAACCAGCCAAGUAGCGUGAAGGAUGACUGCCCUAUGGGUUGUAAACUUCUUUUAUAUGGGAAUAAAAUGUUCCACGUGUGGGUUUUUGUAUGUACCAUAUGAAUAAGGAUCGGCUAACUCCGUGCCAGCAGCCGCGGUAAUACGGAGGAUCCGAGCGUUAUCCGGAUUUAUUGGGUUUAAAGGGAGCGUAGGUGGAUUGUUAAGUCAGUUGUGAAGGUUUGCGGCUCAACCGUAAAAUUGCAGUUGAAACUGGCAGUCUUGAGUACAGUAGAGGUGGGCGGAAUUCGUGGUGUAGCGGUGAAAUGCUUAGAUAUCACGAAGAACUCCGAUUGCGAAGGCAGAUCACUGGACUGCAACUGACACUGAGGCUCGAAAGUGUGGGUAUCAAACAGGAUUAGAUACCCUUGUAGUC
rnacentral:rRNA from 1 species